GUGAAGUGAUGAUGAAUCCAUUCUCAGAGUGCUACUGCAUUGCCCUCCCUUCAGCAUGCAGAUUCCUGUUCUUGGGUCCCCGUGCUGUGCAGCCUCCAAAUACCCUCCAGCCUUUCAUUGUUUUAUUGGGAGCCGCUGGUGCGGCCAGCUCUGUGCAGGAGAGGGGCAGAGCCAGCAGGGCGGGAGCCCCUCUUCAUAGGGCUCUGUCUCAACCAAGAUGAGUGAUGCUGUCUGAUCAC
rfam:Chelonia mydas contig162067, whole genome shotgun sequence.